UACGUAGGGGGCAAGCGUUGUCCGGAUUUAUUGGGCGUAAAGCGCGCGUAGGCGGCCCGGUAAGUCCGUUGUAAAAGUCGAAGGCUCAACCUUCGAAAGCCGAUGGAUACUGCCGGGCUAGAGUACGGAAGAGGCGAGUAGAAUUCCUGGUGUAGCGGUGGAAUGCGCAGAUAUCAGGAGGAAUACCCAUAGCGAAGGCAGCUCGCUGGGACGUUACUGACGCUGAGGCGCGAAAGCGUGGGGAGCGAACAGG
rnacentral:rRNA from 1 species